rnacentral:lncRNA from 9 species
CCUCUGGUGACUCGUCCCCGUCCACGAGGGUGUGUGGCAUGGCAGUACCAAGCACCUUCGGGCAAGACCGCAGGACCUCAGGCUGGGUUGCUGCCUGUCGACGGCGGGGGCAGAUGAGGGAUGUUUGCGGCAGGCGGUCCCUCCACGUGAAGACACCAGCCUGUGACGUGAGCAUGUUGGCGGGAGGGGCCGGCGGGGAGUUGGCUUUGCUGGCCCCUUGCGAUGCAUUGGCCUGACCCCGUUUUCUGUCCACUAUUAGUGCUAAAUAUAAACACGCGAUGGGGCUUCCAAGUGCCGGUGUCGCCGGGGAAGACUGUCUCCACCGCGGGCGGAGAUGAGCUCACGCAGCCUGUGCUGCCCUGUAGGCUGCAGGCACGUAGGGUGGGCCCCCGGCACCCCCAGAGAACAAGGGCUCCGGGCACCACCUCACGACGUCUGCAAAAUGCACACGGCCGCAGCCUGGGCAAAGCUUCGUCCAGCCACUGCCGUCUUGCUCUUUCCCAGGCGCUCCUUCCAAGUGGCUUUGGAGCAGAUCAGACGGGCUCCCCACUCAGUGCUCAUGAGCCCGGGCGAGUAACGAUUCCACGCUGGACAGACGCCUCCAAGAAGGGACUCAGCGGGAGCUCACAGGUGCCCUGCCCAGGCAGCUCCUUCUGGGGAGAGCAUCUAAAAGCCCCCCGGGAACCCUCGGCAACCCCCUUCUCUGCUCUGGGGCUUCCUCUCCUCCAACCGCACCGCGGGCUCCCCUCCAAGGGAUUCAUUGGAAAUUCACUGGGAAUUCCAAGGCUCAGGAGCCCGCCCUGCUGCAUCCUCCCCAGCAACCUCACCGCAGGGCUGCGGAUGCUACAGCCACUCUCCUCCACUCCAGCCAGCCUCCUGGGAUGACCCGCAGGCACCGUCCAUCUGCAACUCAGCAAAGACUGGACGACCUCGGUGCCGCCGCAAACCCGUCCUCUGCAGCGGGGAGGGCAGGGGCUUGCUCAGGGUGGAGCGGUGCCUGUGACCUGCUGUCAGCCGGUGGAUCCGAGGUUUCAAAGCGUCAACAAAUACGCACCGUCCACGGGAGAUGCACAGCCCCUGCGCCUCGAAAGCCCUGGUCCCGGGCUCCUUGCCGAGGGGGAAGCGGGCAGGGCCUCCAGGAGGGCUGGCGGGCACAGCUGGUCUGCGCUCAAACCAGAGCGAGCUAAUUUAAGGCCAGACCCACAGUCCACGUGGCCUAGAUGGUCCCCAGGACGUUCUGUGGAAGGAAGAAGAAUAUAAAUGACCGCGCCAUCCUGCUGGGACAGGGUCAUCUGCGCCCAGAGGAACCUCUAGGUUCGUCAAGUGCAGGCUUGCGGACCCCUCGGCCUGCUUCCCCGUCGGCCUCCCCUGGGGUCUCUGCUGCGGCCGGGCCAGCGGGAGGGAGAGGCGGCCCGAGGGCUUUGCGUGGAGCAACGCGCAUUCCAGAAAAAGCCAGCACGACGGGCCAGAUCCUGCACAGGCCCUCGGACGUCUGGGACUGGAGCCGUGACGCUCAAAACCACUCAAAACGUGUGAAAACCCCAGGAACCUAGCGAAAAUGACGGCAGUGCUUCCCACCCGAGGAGGGUCAGGAAACGGAACCCGCGAAGGCCCCUUCCCCGAGGAGGCCCUCCGCAGCCCGUGGAGCAGCGGUCAGACGGCUGACGUCUGGGGCUUACAGGGAGGGAGGGUCUGGAGUGAGAUGGGACAUCUGUGACACCUGGCAGGGCGGGGACAGCCAGGUGGCGGAGCGCACAUGGCUGUGUCCCCGCCUGUCUCGGUUCAGGGGCACAGCUUGGGUUAGCCUCACGCUUCUGAGCACAGAAUCACGCGUAAGCCAACGUGAAAUCCACAUUAGGGCUCCCCUGUUCCCUGAUGUGUCAAUCGUGUUGGAACAAGUCUGCGUUUUUGAAACAAAGGUUUCCGUAGAACCGACUGUGUGUCCGCUUUUGCCGAGACAGCCCCAAGCAACGCCCGUGGUCCCCGUAAGGAUUCCUGCCGCCGUCACACCCUCGCAUGCCCGCGUCCCAGCGGGAGCCUCCGGUCUCUCAGUUUACGAGGCCUGAGGACCCUGUGCCCCUGGAAAGAGCCUGGUUUAAACGAAAGCAGGACUGCACACCAUCCCUUCCCGCGUCGGUGGUGGGGAGGGAAGCCGCCGCCACCCAAAGGCGCCUCUGCAAACCCUCCCAGAAGUCCCACAGGCCUCGCUCCGUCCUCAGGGUCACCCCAGCAACAUGAGACCCGGCUGGGGAACUCGGCCUCGGAGGCCACUAGUUCCGUGGUUAGAAAAUCUCACUGCCUCUUCCUAAUAGCGUGUAUGCUCGGGGGGUUAAAUACUAGCAAAGAUUAAAGCCGCCUGGGGUGUUCCUCAAAGACGCAGGUUUCUGGGCCCCUCAGUGGAGAUGCUGAUUCAAGACCCGAGGACUUGGGGGGAUCUGUCUCUAGGUAAACUCAGGGGUGCCUGGAGGUGGCCGGACAGCUCACGCUUGGGGAAACGCUGCUGGAGACGCUCAGCCCCAGCCCCGGGGCGGGGGACAGAGCUCUGGACAGAGCGCUGGACAAGCCCUAGGUGCCAGACUCAGUUCUACAGUGAGUCUGCCUCUCCUUAGGUUUUGCAGACAUUUGGGGGUUCGGUCUAGGCCAUGGGUGUCCAAGAAGGAGCACGGUGGAGGCCUUGGAGCCACUGUCACCAGCUGAGUGGCCUUUUCAAAAUAGCUUAAGACCUGUGAGCCUCAGCUUUCUCAUCCAUAGAGUGGGCUGCCUAGCUUCUGCGUGUUUGUGUUAUUUUAAGACCGAAAUUUGUGGGAUGGAAAUCCUGUGAAAUUGGAUUGUUAUGAUCAUUAUACAACUACAGAUGUGAUAAAUUCAUUCGAGUAAUAAAAAAAAUUACAAAAAAAAAAGGCACAGGCUCUCGCUGCCAAAUGCUUUUUAGUGCAUAACCACCCCUUGGUGGGCGCCCCGUCCUUGCUGUUUUAAUGGCCUCGGGGGGCUUCAGUUCCCAAGCGCUGACAGGAGCAGGGAGG